UACGGAGGAUGCAAGCGUUAUCCGGAAUGAUUGGGCGUAAAGCGUCCGCAGGUGGCUAUGUAAGUCUGCUGUUAAAGAGUGAGGCUCAACCUCAUAAGAGCAGUGGAAACUACAUGGCUAGAGUGCGUUCGGGGCAGAGGGAAUUCCUGGUGUAGCGGUGAAAUGCGUAGAUAUCAGGAAGAACACCGGUGGCGAAAGCGCUCUGCCAGGCCGCAACUGACACUGAGGGACGAAAGCUAGGGGAGCGAAUGGG
rnacentral:rRNA from 1 species